UCAGCCUGUUCUCCCAACCAUCACCGUCUGGUUUCGUGAUGUCCUAAAGGAAGAUUCUGCCACCUGGUUGGUUCUGCAGCUUCAUCAGCUUCUCAGCAUGUUCCCUCUCCUCAUGAGAUUGGUGAAGAAAAUAUUUGGCAAAGAGAUAGGAAGAG